rnacentral:pre_miRNA from 1 species
AACAGAAUCACUGGGUCAUAUGGUAAGUCUAUGUUUAACAUUUUGAGGAACUGCCAAACUAUUUUCCAAAGUGGCUCCACCAUUUUACUUUCCCACCAGUAAU